GCUGCUGAAAAUUGGCCUCAUGGGGCAUGGGCGGCAUGGGCCUGGUGUCCCUGCCUUUACCAACAGCAACAUACAGACCAUGGCAAGACUGCUGAGGGAAAGCACCAGCACCCCUGGCACGCACGGCCUGUGUUUUCCACCAGCCGAAAGUCAUGCCUGCCCUCCAAGGCUUCCUGCUGGGAAAGAUAGAGCUUUGAGGGCAGCCACUAGCAAGAGGUGCAGUCUCAUCACUGGGAGUGGUUCCCAGAAGAGCAUCGCCUGCUCUGGUCUCUUUGCUGUGGUCUCUAACAGCAUAGUGAGCAAUGUGAACAAAGCACAUCAAGCUGCCAGAACGGAGGAGCACUCAAGCUGGUGUUGGGAGUGUGUAGGUGCAUGCAUAAAACAUGCACACAGGCUCUGAAGCAUAUACUGAAGGCUGAAGAAUGGAUUUCUACAAUUUUAAAAUGAGUUUUCUUUCUCCUCUCCUCUCCUCUCCUC
rnacentral:lncRNA from 1 species